CCCAGCAGGACGACUGGAGCACCGGGGGCCAAGUGAGCCGUGCUAGUCAGGUCAGCAACUCCGACCACAAAUCCUCCAAAUCCCCAGAGUCCGACUGGAGCAGCUGGGAAGCUGAGGGCUCCUGGGAACAGGGCUGGCAGGAGCCAAGCUCCCAGGAGCCACCUCCUGACGGUACACGGCUGGCCAGCGAGUAUAACUGGGGUGGCCCAGAGUCCAGCGACAAGGGCGACCCCUUCGCUACCCUGUCUGCACGUCCCAGCACCCAGCCGAGGCCAGACUCUUGGGGUGAGGACAACUGGGAGGGCCUCGAGACUGACAGUCGUCAAGGCUGAGCUGGCCCGGAAGAAGCGCGAGGAGCGGCGGCGGGAGAUGGAGGCCAAACGCGCCGAGAGGAAGGUGGCCAAGGGCCCCAUGAAGCUGGGAGCCCGGAAGCUGGACUGAACCGUGGCGGUGGCCCUUCCCGGCUGCGGAGAGCCCGCCCCACAGAUGUAUUUAUUGUACAAACCAUGUGAGCCCGGCCGGCCCAGCCAGGCCAUCUCACGUGUACAUAAUCAGAGCCACAAUAAAUUCUAUUUCACA
rnacentral:lncRNA from 1 species